AACGCGAAGAACCUUACCUACUCUUGACAUCUACAGAAGACUGCAGAGAUGCGGUUGUGCCUUCGGGAACUGUAAGACAGGUGCUGCAUGGCUGUCGUCAGCUCGUGUUGUGAAAUGUUGGGUUAAGUCCCGCAACGAGCGCAACCCUUAUCCUUAGUUGCCAGCACGUUAUGGUGGGAACUCUAGGGAGACUGCCGGUGAUAAACCGGAGGAAGGUGGGGAUGACGUCAAGUCAUCAUGGCCUUUAUGUCUAGGGCUACACACACGCUACAAUGGUGUAUACAGAGGGUAGCAAGACCGUGAGGAGGAGCCAAUCCCAUAAAGUACAUCGUAGUUCGGAUUGUAGGCUGCAACUCGCCUACAUGAAGUCGGAGUUGCUAGUAAACGCAGAUCAGCUACGCUGCGUUGAAUACGUUCCCGGGUCUUUACACACCG
rnacentral:rRNA from 1 species